AGAAAGACUUAUGAGAGAAGGCAAAAAGAACACAUGCACCCCUAUUAAACAUUACAGGCGGCACAGGGCAGACAUACGAUCUGGACAGGGCACCAAUCCAUGGCAGGUUCCUGCUCUUAAGAGGGAGGUGCAGGGCGCUGAGAUAAAUAUUGCAC